CUCAGUUCGGAUUGUAGGCUGAAACUCGCCUACAUGAAGCUGGAGUUGCUAGUAAUCGUAGGUCAGCAUACUACGGUGAAUACGUUCCCGGGCCUUGUACACACCGCCCGUCAAACCAUGAGAGUUGGCAACACCCGAAGUCGGUAGUCUAACCGCAAGGAGGACGCCGCCGAAGGUGGGGUUGAUGAUUAGGGUUAAGUCGUAACAAGGUAGC
rnacentral:rRNA from 1 species